GUAGGUGGCAAGCGUUGUCCGGAAUUAUUGGGCGUAAAGCGCGCGCAGGUGGUUCUUUAAGUCUGAUGUGAAAGCCCCCGGGCUCAACCGGGGAGGGCAUUGGAAACUGGGGAACUUGAGUGCAGGAGAGGAAAGUGGAAUUCCACGUGUAGCGGUGAAAUGCGUAGAUAUGUGGAGGAACACCAGUGGCGAAGGCGACUUUCUGGCCUGUAACUGACACUGAGGCGCGAAAGCGUGGGGAGCAAACAGGAUUAGAUACCCUGGUAGUCCACGCCGUAAACGAUGAGUGCUAAGUGUUGGGGGGUUUCCGCCCCUCAGUGCUGCAGCUAACGCAUUAAGCACUCCGCCUGGGGAGUACGGUCGCAAAGACUG
rnacentral:rRNA from 1 species